rnacentral:lncRNA from 1 species
UUUUAAUGUCUUUGCUUGAUGAUUUUUACAUUUUUGGAACCCCUAAAGCAUGAGCUUUCAUAAGAGGGGAUUAUUUUGCAAAAUGAUGAAGAGUCUAGGGUUUUACCAUGAGAGUAAAUGUGUUGUUUUCUGUGUUUUUAUGGAAGAUUAUGAGUCCUAGUUGUCUAAUAAACAACUUUUGUGAAAGAAAUUGCAUGAAAAUACCUUAAAAAGGGCU